CGAAGGAUAGCUUAACUAAAGCAUUUCGCUUACACCGAAAAAAUAUUUGUGAAACUCAAAUUCCCUCGA
rnacentral:tRNA from 1 species